rnacentral:rRNA from 1 species
UACGGGGGGGGCAAGCGUUGUUCGGAAUUACUGGGCGUAAAGGGCUCGUAGGCGGCCAACUAAGUCAGACGUGAAAUCCCUCGGCUUAACCGGGGAACUGCAUCUGAUACUGGAUGGCUUGAGAUUGGGAGAGGGAUGCAGAAUUCCAGGUGUAGCGGUGAAAUGCGUAGAUAUCUGGAGGAAUACCGGUGGCGAAGGCGGCAUCCUGGACCGAGAUUGACGCUGAUGAGCGAAAGCUAGGGGAGCAAACGGG